UCUCUUUUCCUGUUUUUUUUUAACUCUGUGUUUUUCUUCACUCUGGUUUGUAGUAUCUGAUUAUGAUAGUGUAUAGUGCAGAAUGUAUGUUCGUUCUCCUUUUCUGGGAUUGAAAGAGUCCUUAAUUAAGUACAAGAACUCUUGGGGAGAAAGUUGGGCGAACAAUUACAAAUAAGGGGGAGGGAAUUUGAAUUUUAAAAUAAAAUUCUUUGUUUUUUUAAUCUAUUAAUAAUGAUAAAUAAAAAUACAGAAUAAAUAAAAAUAAAUAAAUAAGAUAAGAUAAGAUAAUAGAAUAAUAAUAAUAGUAAUAAAUAUAAAUAUAACUAAUUAAUUUUUAUAUUUAAAGAAAAUACAAUAAAAAUUAUAUAUAGCCUUACAUAAAUAUAAUUAAGAUAGUAUUAAAACAACUUAUUUCUUUAAAAUUUAAAAAUAAAUUUUUUUCUUUUAUAAUUUUUGUAUUAUUUUUAAAAUCAGAAUAAAAAUAAAAUAAAAUAUCUCAAAAUUAACUUUAUUUAGUUAUUUAUUUUUAACUAAAAAUUUAUUAAAAUAAAAUAAAAAUUUAAAUAAUAUUAGACCAAAUAUAAAUAUUUAAUAUCGAAAAAUAAAUUAAAAUUCGAGGAAGAUCAAAAAUCACGUGUUUACAUUUUUGCCCCUCUUUGUAUGGAAUCUCGAAGACUUUUUAUAUAAAAAAGUAGACAAGAUAUGAUUUUUGACCCUCUAAUUAUUUGAAAGGUAAGGAUAAAAUAAAAUUAAAAGAAAAGAAAAAAUAUGACCGAGUCCUGAUUUUGGACCUCCUACCUAUCCCGCGUUAUAAGAGAAUUAGGUCACGAGCAGCUCAAAAGUAACAUGGUGAGAGAAUGAGUUAGUCAUCGAGUGAGAUUCCGUCGAGUUUUUGGUAAACGACUUCUGCUUUUUUACAUUCAAAUUACUAACAAAAAUAAAAAAAUGAAAAUAGAAAUGCAAAAUGCAAUUUCUCUGAAAUUUUGAUUCGAAUUUUCAUGACUUGAACUUGAAAAUUCACCCUAUUCUUCAAGCGGGCUCCUGGCUUGCUUUUUUCUCUUCACCCUGUUCUUCAGGCGGGCUCCUAAUUUGUUACUUCUUUACCCUGUUCUUCAGGCGGGAUCCUGACUUGUUAUUUCUUCACCUGACAGUGUUCACCCUAUCCUUCAGGCAGACUCCUAGACUUACAUUUUCUUCACCCUGCUCUUUAGGCGGGCUCCGAAACUUCCUUUUCCUUCACCCUGUUCUUUAGGAGGGCUUCUGGACUUACUUUUCCUUCGCCCUAUUCUUCAGGCGGGCUCCUGGAUUUACUUUUCCUUCACCCUGUUCUUUCGGUGGACUCUUGAACUUACUUUUCCUUCACCCUGUUCUUCAGACGGGCUCCUGGACUUACUUUUUCUUCACUUUAUUCUUCAGGCGGGCUCCUGACUUGCUAUUUUUUAUUUUUCAAAUAUGUUCCUAAAAUCAAAAUAAAAGGUGAAACAAAAAAAUAAUAUCUCAUUCUUCAGGAGGGUCCUGAGCAUAAAAAUAAAUUUCAAUAAACACGAACAAAAUUUUUUGCCCCAAUUUGCAUUAGAAAAUUUUUAUGAGCGACAUCAGAUCACAAUUUUUGAAAAGUGUAGUAAAGAGUGUAAAUCAAAGCCCUGUUAAAGAAAUGCGUCUCUUCAGAGUAAAACUGAUGACCAAAAUUAGAAAGUGCAUCUCCUAACACAUGAAUCUUAAAUCAACUAGAUAAGGAAGUAUGUCUCUUAGGGGUUAAAUAAAAUGACUCAAAUAAAAAGUACAUCUACAUCUUCUAGAAAUCAAAGGAAAUGAAUCGACUAAAAGGUACGUCUUAUAGGAAUCAAGAAGAAUAACUUGACUAAAAGGUACAUCUUAUAGGAAUCAAGGGGGAUGACUCGACUAAAAGGUACGUCUUAUAGAAAUCAAGGGGAAUGACUCGACUAAAAGGUACGUCUUAUAGGAAUCAAGGGGAAUGACUCUACUAAAAGUACAUCUUAUAGGAAUCAAGGAAAAUGACUUAACUAAAAUGUACGUCUUACAGGAAUCAAGGGGAAUGACGAGACCAAAAGUUACAUCUUAUAGAAAUUAAGGGAAUGACUCGACUAAAAGUACGUCUUACAGAAAUCAAGGGAAAUGACUUGACUAAAAGGUACGUCUUAUAGGAAUCAAGGGGAAUGACUCGACUAAAAGGUACGUCUUAUAGGAAUCAAGGGGAAUGACUCAACUAAAAGGUACAUCUUAUAAGAAUCAAGGGGAAUGACUCAACUAAAAGGUACGUCUUAUAGGAGUCAAGGGGAAUAACUCGACUAAAAGGUACGUCUUAUAGGAAUCAAGGGUAAAUGACUCGACUAAAAGGUACAUCUUAUAGGAAUCAAUGGGAAUGACUCAAAUAAAAGAUACGUCUUACAGGAAUUAAGGAGAAUGACUCGACUAAAAGGUACGCCUUAUAGGAAUCAAAGGGAAUGACUAGACUAAAAGGUACAUCUUAUAGGAAUCAAGGAAAAUGACUCGACUAAAAUAUACGUCUUAUAGAAAUCAAGGGAAAUGACGAGACCAAAAGUUACAUCUUAUAGAAAUCAAGGGAAAUGACGAGACCAAAAGUUACAUCUUAUAGAAAUCAAGGGAAUAACUAGACUAAAAGUAUGUCUUAUAGAAAUCAAGGGAAAUGACUUGACUAAAAGGUACGUCUUAUAGGAAUCAAGGUGAAUGACUCGACUAAAAGGUACGUCUUAUAGGAAUCAAGGGGAAUGACUCAACUAAAAGGUACAUCUUAUAAGAAUCAAGGGGAAUGACUCAACUAAAAGGUACGUCUUAUAGGAGUCAAGGGGAAUAACUCGACUAAAAGGUACGUCUUAUAGGAAUCAAGGGUAAAUGACUCGACUAAAAGGUACAUCUUAUAGGAAUCAAUGGGAAUGACUCAAAUAAAAGAUACGUCUUACAGGAAUUAAGGAGAAUGACUCGACUAAAAGGUACGCCUUAUAAGAAUCAAAGAGAAUGACUCGACUAAAAGGUACGUCUUAUAGGAAUCAAAGGGAUGACUCGACUAAAAGGUACGUAUUAUAUGAAUCAAGGGGAAUGAAUCGACUAAAAGGUAGGUCUUCUAGGAAUCAAGGUUCAAUUUAAGAAGUAUAUCACCUAGCAAUUGAAAACUGAAAUACCUGGACAUAGAAGUAUGCCUCUAAGAGACAUAGGAUGAUGAAUUUUUAUCAUAAUUUGAUUAUCAAACCAGUGCAACAAUAUUGCUUCCUGCAUUUAUGGAAAUGAGGCAUUGCAACCCUUGAUAUUUAUGCUCUGAAGUUCUUAAUUUGAAGGCAACAUGUUUCCUGUUUUAUCAAACAAAACUUGUGAGUUAAAAAACAUGGUGGAAGGUUUGUGGCUUUAGCUUCCGUGGCAAUCAUUCUUGCCCUCGUCAUAUUUAACCUUGCUUUCCAUUAUUAUCAUCUGUCACCGACUUGCUGCAUCAUUAACCCAAACUCAGAUUAUUAGAAAUAGCUCUGAAUAGUAUCUCUUCUUUGACAUGCUCCCCAAUUAAACCCUUUGAACCUUGGUAUUUCCAUGAGUUUCCAGACUUGUCUAUUGACAAAACUUUCUGCAUAGCCUUAUUUCAGCUCACAAUCAUGUCUCUUUCAUGUACUGUCUUUUUGUCUUACUUUGUGCAAUUGAAAAAGUUGGUAGCUAAUUUGAAAUCUUUUCUCACUUGUUAUGACACGGGCUCAAUUCAAACACACGAGAAAAAUGACAAUGAUGAUUUUUUUGAAUAAAUGACUCAAGAAAACAAAGAUAUAAAAAAUAAAUAAAAGGAAAAUGAAUGUUCCCAUUUGAAACGAAGAAACAAAAAAUUCAUUUAAAAAUGACAGCCAACUCUAAUGAUUAUGUCAUGCAUUUUUUUUAUUAAACAGCCUGAUCUUUUCAUCCAAACUUUCCACCAAUUAUUGUUGAGUUAAUGGCCCUGAAACUUAGUUGUUCCUUAGGUCAAUUGCACUUAUAGAUCCUAUUCAGCUUGUGACAUCUGGAAGAGUUUUCGCCAAUAAGCCUUUCUCAUUUUCUUUCUCUCAGCUCACUAUUGAACUAUGGUGUUUGUGAGAAUUUUCACCAAUGAGAAUCUCUUAUUCUCAUUUUUUCAACUCACAAUCAUCUUACGGUGACCGUGAGGGUUUUUGCCAAUAAGACUCUCUCAUUUUAUUUUUCUCAACUCACCUUCGUCUUACGAUGCCCGUGAGGGUUUUCACCAAUAAGACUCUCUCAUUUUUAUUGUUUUCACAACUCAUUGUCACCUUAUGGUGCCCAAGAGGGUUUUCACCAAUAAUACUAUCUCAUUUUUUAUUGUUCUUACCCCCCUUUUUUUAUCGAUGAAGAAAAAUGAUGCCCGAAAUAUGAAACAUCAUAUACCCAUUACAUGAUUAGCCUUGACAUUCUCAAAGAUUGAUCAGAAGGUCUUUUUUUUAUUGUAACUUGGCUUUUGGAAAGGGUUAGAAAGAAAUGACGGCAUGAGGCUCAAAAAUUUACAUAACAUUGGGUGAAGCAUACAACUUUUGGAAUUGACUCUUUAAGUAAAUAAACUUUUAUCCCAGUUUUAUUUCAUUCUGGGUAACUUGAAUUUUUUUACUUGAUUGUGCCUAACCCCAAAGUAGGGCUGCCUACGUAUCUUGUCAUGGUAAAAAUCAAGUCAAACGUAGUUCAGACAACUUAUUCUUUUUCUUAAUUCUGUUUUUUCAGUUGUUAUUGGCUCUUUUUCUCUUUCCUUUCUUUUUUCCACAUUUUCCUUCACUUUUUUUUAAACUUUUUUGACUCUAGUGUUUGGCUUGACACUUUUUCUUUUGAGCUUUGCUGACUCUAUCUUGAUUCCAAAAGAGGGGUAUGAAAGAAAAUAACAUUGAAGCUCAAAUGAGGUAAACAAAGGAUGACACAAUGGAUAGCAGAAUAAAAUGCCUUCGUCAUAUCAAUCCUUGAAAAUGCAAGUACAUAACAUGCAAAAUGAAAGUGGGAGAUGAAGAUUUGUGUAACACUUUAACAACACUAACAUUAACUGAGCAUGUGUGCCACUUCUUCUUUUACACUUGUCAAAUCUACAACUCCACCUUUAUUGUACAUCCCUCAUAUCGAAUGACUCAUGCUUUCAUGGAGCUAAUUAUCUUACUAUUUCUCUUUAAUAAAGAUCUCACAUCCAUUAUUUGACCUAAUUGAGAUAUGUCUUUCAAUUGAUGACUAAGUUAUUCUUGUGAUUCUCAAAAUAAUUGCCUUAAUUUUCAAAGAAGGCUUCAACAUGGUCACCAAAUGUCUUAACAUUCUACCUAUUUCUCAUAUGUCAUUUUCUUCUAAUUUUAGCCCUUUAAUUCAAUGUUUCAUGAACUGGAUUUUAAGAUCUGGCUGAAAAUUCCGCUGGCAUGUCAUAGCAUUAGAAUCAACAUAAAAUGAAUUGCAUGAGAAAAAUAUAAACAAACAAAUUUAAAAUAAGACAAAACAACAAGGGACAACAUAUUUCAUUGAAAGGAAAAAUAUAAGGGUUUAAAUAAAGACGACAAAGAAACAAAACAAGAUAGAUUUAGAACUAUAACCUUGAAAUAAUUCAGAAAAUAGAAAGGAAAGCAAAACAAACUACUAAACAUUCAUCCUAACGAGGAGAGGAGUGACUUCCCAAUUGGUGUGAAGUUAUCUCUCGACUUCUAGCUCAUUUCAUUAUUUAGCUUGGAUCAAAAAUCGAGCCUAGAAGGGCUUUAGUUUGUUUGUGGAGUUAGAGGAUGACUCUGAGGGGUUGGUGCAUGCCAUUAUGGGUAAGACAGAGGUUGAACAUAUGGUUGUGCUUUAUAUACUUGAUAUGGAGGUAGGGGAAAAGAGUAUAAUGGAUUUAAGGAGUGAUUAUAUGGAGCUUAGGCAUGAACUUGGGUUUGAGACUGAGGGUAACGGUGAUGUGGUCUUCUUCGACGUGCACGUUGUUCAGCUACAAUAGUAGCUACAUCUUCCUCAUUCUUCUUCCCUCCAUCAUUUCCUGAACCCUUCUGAAUUGCUUGAGUAGUUGCUUUUAAUAUUGCAAAACUCACAAUGCGACCAGUCUUCAUUCCAUCCUAUAUCAUCUCUCCCAUUCGUAGGACCUCAAUAAAUGGAUUACUUAAUGCAGGUAACAGGUGUUGAUAGUAUGUUUCAUCCUGCAUUUGAAUAAACACUUCCACUAUCUUGCUUUCUAUCAUUGGCAGUUUCACCCUUGCAGCUUGUUCAUGCCAUCUAAUUGCAUACUCCUUGAAAUUUUUAUUGUUGUUCUUCUUUAUAUUAGUCAGGUAUUUCUCUUCAGGAAUCGGCUCCACAUUAUAUUGAAAUUGUUAUACGAAUUUGUUAGCCAAGUUAUCCCAACUACUCCACUUGUCAAUGUCCUGAUCCACAAACUACUCUGAGGCUAGACUCGAAAGUCUCUCACCGAAAUAAGCCAUGAGUAAUUCUUAUUUACCUCUGGCACCUCUUAAUUGGUUAUAAUAAUGCCUCAAGUAUGCUACUGGAUCACUGUGCCCUUCGUACUUGUCAAACUUUGGCAUUUUGAACCCUAGCGGCAAAUGAACAUCAGGAAACAUACAUAAAUCUUUGUAUGAGACACUUUUUGGUCCUCCUAAUUCUUGCAUAUUUUUCAUACUCUACUCUAGGCUUCUCAUUUUCCUGGCCAGCUCUUCCUGUUCUUGACUUUUAACAAUCUUCUCAAUCAUGAUAGUAGAAUCACGUUGAUGAGCAUGAUAAUGUAGAUUUGGGGAUUUGAAAGUCAUUUCAGGAGGAUACAAUUGAUCAUGACUUGGUUCACCCAUAUUCUUUUGUACUGUCAAUUGAGGACCCGCAGUAGCUGGUGCUACAGGAGUGAAAAGCGGGUUGUUUGUGACAGAUGGUUUAAUGGGUGCAUGGUAGAAGUACCAGUAGCGCCAGACACAUUAGCAUAUGGGCUGAAUCCAGGUAGGUAAAAUGGAUCGCUAAUUUGAGCUUGAGCAGAAUUUGGAUCAUUCGUAUUAGAAAAUCUAGGGAUUGAGAAAGGAGGGGCUUGUCCAUUCGACCAAGCUUGGUACAUCUCCUCUAUCUGCUGUUUUAAUAACUUAUUUUCUUCUAUUGAUGCUAAUUCUUGUGAAAUCAACUGAUUUUGCUCUUCCUCACUGUUAGACCCUACACCUUCUUUGCAGGUCAUCUUUUUUUUUUCUUUGAACCUCUAUGGCAUGGAUUGAGAAGCCAACUUAGCCACAAACCAACCACCUUAAUACUAUUUUGAUUUUGGAGAAAACUAGUGUGUCAGAGUUCAAUUUUUUUAAGACCACCGAAUCCCUAAAGGACUACCUAUGCAUCUCAUUAAGAUGAGAAUUAGGUGUGCGUAGUUCAUGAAAUAUAUGUCGUACAAAACUCAGCCUGAAGACCCCUAAAGGUUCAGGGCUAUUAAGCUUUAUAUAUAUAUAUUAUUUUGUAAAAGCUUAGUCUCAUGAUCCCUAAAGAUUCAGGACUAUUACGAUAUAUAAAAAUUGGACUUGAGGAUUAAAAAAAUAAUCAUGAAAGUAAUCAUAUCCUUAAAAUACUUUCCAAUAAAUCUAUGGAUGAUUUUUCAAAAGAUAGGGUUGUACCCCGAAAAGGAUUUUUUACGUAUCUUGCUAAAUAGUGAGAAUCAGACCCUCGUAGUUCAUGAAGACCUUAAAAACUAUAUAUAUUUUUUAAUUUCUUCAAAAAAUAAUUCAUUAAAUUUGAGGAUUAAAUACUCUCUUGUGUUUCACCAAGUUGCCUAAAGCCAGUCAACAAUCAAAUGACCUUCCAAAUAAAUGUCAAAGAGCACGUGGAAUGCACAUGUUGCUCAUUAUAAAGUGGUCACCUGUCCUAGACAAACCCGAACCCUGUACCAAGUCCCGCUAAGUCAAAUGCACAUGAGGCAAAUAAAGCGGAACCUAAUAGGGAUAACCAGAUUCUGAGUUUCAGUUCUUCUAAGUUUAGUCUAAUAAGGAUAGGUGUCUAGACUGGCUUACCAUAGAGGACACUCGAGUCGGGGAGGGACAAAUUGCUCGGUAGCAGUGCUACUUCGCUUUCGUUGUCGAUCCGAACCCCGCCUAACAUGUGUGACUUUAAUCUUUCACCAGGUGACUUGACACUACGGCUAUCUUAGAAAGAUAGUAGGAUGCAUAUGCUGCAUUCCUUCUAUCUUAUUUUAGAAGACUCGGAGGGGGUACGUAAGAGAAGACAGUUUAUAAAUACAGUUCAAAAAUAUCAAAGCAGUAAAUGAGCGACAAGUAGCACAUAAGGCCAAUAAACACAAUAUCAAAAAUAAUUAAAGCAAGUAAAAGUCAACAUCAAAAACUCUAAUUCUUAUAUUUUCCCCAGUGGAGUCGUUAGAUAUGUCACACCCCUUUUUCGCUCGAAGGAUUGAAGAUCGAAGGAUUUUUCUAAUUGAAGUGACUAUACUGAAUAGAGAUUAUUUUAUUUAUAGAGUCACCACUUGAAAUUGAGUUGUGGUGUUUCAAGUCACCCUAUUGAAUCCUUAAUCAAAAGGAAAUGAUUUUUUAUUUUUGUUUGCGAAAACAGAAGAGGGUAAUGAAUUCUGUUGACCAAGAGGAAGGUGUGAGGCACCCCUCGAGUCCCGUGGUUCUAACACGGUCGCUUUUAUUGACUUAUUUUUACUUAAACUAUUUUGAUAAAUUAUGCUAAGGCCUAAAAUUUGCUCAUUUUAUUAUACUAAAAUAUCUGUCUACACCUCUUAUAUUAAAUCGGUGAAAGUUAAUUUUUAAAAAAUAUUUGCCAAGUGCAUUAUUGCAUCUUUGAAUUUUUAAAUGUCUCUGAAAGAUGCGUACGCCGCAUUCUUAAUGGAGAUAAAAAUAUUAAACUUGCUUAAAACUUAUCUAGUGUUAAAGUCGUUGGUUAGUCUAUUAUAAAUUCGAGACAUCUAAACUUACUCUUUUAUUUUUAUCGUAUAACGGGGUUUUUGAAUAACUUCAUAUCUAACUCACCUUUCUUAAUUAAAUUAAUUAAUCAUGUCUUAAAAAUAUCGAUGUCUAAAUGUAAUUUUAUUUUUAAAAAUCUAACGUGCAAGUUGUGAUUACAGAAUGCUCCAUAGAAAUAAAACCAACAACGAAUCAAUUUAAAUGUAAAAAUUAUCAUAAAAUAUAUUUUUUAUUCUCUUAUCAGGAUAAUUUUGUUUAAAUUAAUGUAAUAAUGACAGUAGCAAAUUUUAUGCAGUAAAGUAGGCCUAACUAACUAGCCGUUUGGCCAUGAAAAUUAUUUUUUUUCGGAAUUGGAGUUGGAGUUGGAGUUGAAGAUGAAGUUGGAGUUGUUUUUGGCCAUGUAUUUUUGAUUUUUUUUUUAACCUUUAAAAAAUCUUUUUUAAAUAUGAUUUUAUGCCCUCAACUUCUAAAAAUUAUCAAAAUCACCAACUACUAAUUUUCCUACUAACAUACAACCAAAUGUUGAGAAAAUAAUUUAUAUGACUUCAAUUGAUAAAAUAAUUAACAACAAACUAAUUAUUAUGAUUGUUAUUCUUCUAAAAUUUGAAUAAAAAUAUCACAAGCACGAGCUAAAUAAGUUUAUCUAACCAUAAUCGAUUAAAUAGAGAAAAAUAUAUUUUGAUAAAUAUGAUUGAUAGAUAUAAAUAUAUUUUAUAUAUUCUUAAAUUUUUUGAUGAAAAUUCUUAAGUAUUUUUACUUGAGUUAAUUAUUUUAUUGAAUUUGGUCUUUUUUAAAAAAUUACGAAAUAUAAUUAAUAAGAAGGGUUUGUGUAAAAAUUUAAAGAAUGGGGUUAUAUGUAAUAAUAAUGAAAGCUGAAAUUAGAAGUGGAAAAAAGAGAAAACAACAAAAAGUUGUUUUCCAUUUAUGGAAUUUUAUUCCGGAAUUUUUUUUUAAAAUUUCAUGACCAAACUCCAUAAUUUCUAACUCCAAAAAAAUUUUCCGCAAAAAAGAAAAAAAUAUCCAUGGCCAAAUGGGCCCUAAGAAUAUAUAUUUAACCACAUAAUUUUACUUUAUGUCUUCUUUACUCCAUCAUCUUCCUUUAUUGUACUACUUACAAAAUAUCAAAGUCCAUAAAAUAAAGAUCUCCAAAAGAUCCUUCACUAAAAAUAGCCAUGGAAAUUUUCAUCUCUUUCUCCAUAACGAUCAAAAUCAAGAAAAGAAAUUUUUCUUUUUUGAAAAAGAUGAAAUUGUAAAGCGAAAAUUUAAAUUUGGGAAGAGGAAAAAUUGGUGGCCGUUGUUGGCGUUCGCCGGCGGCUGGCAGUGAUUCUAGUGAGAGCUGGGCAAAAUUGACUCAAAAAUGGGUCAUUUUUUUACAGGGGUCGGUUGGAGAAUGGCCUUCCCAAUCAGAUCUGUUACAAAUAAGGAAGAGUUGAUGGCGCGAUGGACAUAGCUCGUCAUUGGCCAGAGAUGGAGGAGGGACGACGAUGGAAAGAUCUGGCCAACGUCAAGAGAAGAGGAGAAGGGGCGAUGCGGCGGUAAGGGUGCGCCUGGGUCGCCAAUUUUGGCAGUUUCGCCGUCGUUGGUGGUUCCUGGCGAUUUUCGUGGUAGAUCAGUGGCGGCAAAUCAGGUGGUGGAGGUCUUCGGGUGUCGAUAAUUUCCAGCAAGAUUCCGACUAAACUUAACGGGACUCACUGAAAUCCAAAUCAUAUUUGUUGGCUAUUAUUUUCUUUUCCUCUCUCAAAUUUUUCUCACUCUCAAACAUCAUUUUUCAGUUCACUGAUUUUACUCUAUUUUUAUCAAUUAUUCUUCUUGAUUUUUUUCACUAACUGUGACUAUUUCGAUAUGUGCACUGUUAUGUGAUAUUGUGCAGGCGUAUCAGUGUAAAUUUUUCUCUAUUGUGCGUGGUGUUAUACAUCUGUGUGAUUCAUUGAUGAGGGCAUAUUAAUACGAAUUUUCUUAUGUACAAAUAUAAAUGUCCAGUAAACUUAAUUGCAUAACACAUAAUAAUAAUAAAAGUUCACACAAUUAAUUAAUUACACAUAUUAAAUAAUGCAAGAAAUUACUUGAACAUCUUCAUUUAGUCAUUUUCAUAAAAAUUAACAUAAAAUGGUUUAAGAUUGAAAAAGAACCUGUGAUUGCUGAACUGGAUAAUAAAUAAAGCAAGAAACAAUUGUCCCCAGCAACAUCAAGCAAAAACUCUAAAAUCUUUUCUUUUCUCUCUUUUCCUGAUUUUUUUGAACUCUGUGUUUUUCUUCACUUUGGUUUGUAGUAUUUGAUGAUUAUAGUGUACAGUGCAGAAUGUACGUUCGUUCUCCUUUUCUGGGAUUGAAAGAGUCCUUAAGUACAGGAACUCUUAGGGAGGAAGUUUAGUGGGAACAGUUAGAUAAGGGGGUGAGAAUUUGAAUUUUAAAAUAAUUUUUUUAAAAAUUUAUUAAUAAUAAUAAAUAAAAAUAAAUAAAUAAAUAAGAUAAUAGAAUAAUAAUAAUAAUAAUAAAUAUAACUAAUUAAUUUUUAUAUUUUAAGAAAAUAUAAUAAAAAUCAUAAAUAGUUUUAAGUAAAUAUAAUUAAGAAAAAUAAAAUAAAAUAUCUCAAAAUUAACUUUAUUUAGUUAUUUAUUUUUUAACUAAAAAGUUAUUAAAAUAAAAUAAGAAUUUAAAUAAUAGCAGACCAAAUAUAAAUAUUUAAUAUCGAAAAAAUAAAUUAAAAUUCGAGGAGGAUAAAAAAUCACGUGUCUACACAUUAACUCACGAACAAUACGAACAAGAUCCAAAGAAGGAGGUAAAGCAACACUGGUAUCAUGAAUAUGAGCCAAAUAAGAAAAACAUCCCUUCUAAACCAAGCGACGAGCCUGAAUAUAAGAUAUAACUUUUCUGGGACCUGAAUGGAGCGCAUUUUUUCAAGCUAUCCUUGAGACACCUAGGUAGAGCUGAAUUCACGGUCUUAGCAUAAUAAUCUAGGACAACAUGGUAAGGAGC
rnacentral:lncRNA from 1 species